AGCUCCAAUAGCGUAUAUUAAAGUUGUUGCAGUUAAAAAGCUCGUAGUUGGAUUUCUGCUUUGACGGUGCGGUCUGGCUCUGCUAUGCACUGUGCUCGUCAGGGCAUCAAUCUGGGGAUCGUUUCUGCACUUGACUGUGUGGAGCGAGAGCCAGGACUUUUACUUUGAGAAAAUUAGAGUGUUUCAAGCAGGCGAUUGCCUUGAAUACAUUAGCAUGGAAUAAUAAGGUAGGACUUUGGUUCUAUUUUGUUGGUUUCUGGGGCCGAGGUAAUGAUUAAUAGGGAUAGUUGGGGGCAUUCGUAUUUAACUGUCAGAGGUGAAAUUCUUGGAUUUGUUAAAGACGAACCGCUGCGAAAGCGUUUGCCAAGGAUGUUUUCA
rnacentral:rRNA from 1 species